UGGGCGCAAGCCUGACGGAGCAACGCCGCGUGAGGGAGGAAGGCCUGUGGGUUGUAAACCUCUUUUNNNNNGGAAGAACACAAUGACGGUACUUGAGGAAUCAGCAUCGGCUAACUCCGUGCCAGCAGCCGCGGUAAGACGGAGGAUGCAAGCGUUAUCCGGAAUUAUUGGGCGUAAAGCGUCCGUAGGUGGUUAUAAAAGUCUGUUGUUAAAGCCCACAGCUCAACUGUGGAUCGGCAAUGGAAACUGUAUGACUUGAGUGUGGUAGGGGUNGAGGGAAUUCCUAGUGUAGCGGUGAAAUGCGUAGAUAUUAGGAAGAACACCAGUGGCGAAGGCGCUCUACUGGGCCAUAACUGACACUGAUGGACGAAAGCUAGGGGAGCGAAAGGGAUUAGAUACCCCUGUAGUC
rnacentral:rRNA from 1 species